UGGGGAAUUUUGCACAAUGGGGGAAACCCUGAUGCAGCGACGCCGCGUGAUUUAGAAGGCCUUCGGGUUGUAAAAAUCUUUUCUAUGGGAAGAAAAUGACAGUACCAUAGGAAUAAGGACCGGCUAAUUACGUGCCAGCAGCCGCGGUAAUACGUAAGGUCCGAGCGUUGUCCGGAAUCAUUGGGCGUAAAGGGUACGUAGGCGGGUAAGCAAGUUAGAAGUGAAAUCCUAUAGCUCAACUAUAGUAAGCUUUUAAAACUGCUCAUCUUGAGGUAUGGAAGGGAAAGUGGAAUUCCUAGUGUAGCGGUGAUAUGCGCAGAUAUUAGGAGGAAUACCGGUGGCGAAGGCGACUUUCUGGCCAUAACCUGACGCUGAGGUACGAAAGCGUGGGUAGCAAACAGG
rnacentral:rRNA from 1 species